GACAGAGGUGCCAAGCGUUAGGCGGAAUCACUGGGCUUAAAGCGUGUGUAGGCGGAUUUGUAAGUACCUUGUGAAAUCCCACAGCUCAACUGUGGAACUGCUGGGUAUACUGCUUAUCUUGAGCCACUUAGGGGCUGUCGGAACAAAUGUGGAGCGGUGAAAUGCGUAGAUAUCAUUUGGAACGCCAACGGUGAAAACAGACAGCUGGGAGUGUGCUGACGCUGAGACACGAAAGCCAGGGGAGCGAACGGG
rnacentral:rRNA from 1 species